rnacentral:lncRNA from 1 species
CAAAUUGUAUUUUUUGACGGAAAAUGUAAAAAAAUGAUAUAAAUUUACAUCUUCGUUAUAUACACGAGAGAAAAAGUGAAUUCAUAUAUUUUCAUUUGAGCAAAAUUUAAAUUUUGACCCACCAAAAUGUAAACAAGAAUGCAAAAGUAAAUUUGAAAAUAUCAAUUUACACUCGAUUUUAUACCAUCAUUGAACAUGCUCUAAGUCGCGAUUUAAAUUUACUUUAACCGCUAUUGAAGAUGCUCUAAUAUUUGGCAAAUAGGAUAUAGAAAACACUUCGCUAUUUAACAAAAUUAUCGAUAAACAAGAUUUGUGCAAACAUAUACAAAUCAAGUAGCCACACCCACGUUUAAUUAAUAUAAUUAUAUUGGAAAAUUAUAUUACAGACUGACGGUAGAAAUGAACUGUUUUCGCCUUUCGGAGAUAAUUAAAGAAUAUUAAUGAACCAAAUUGAAGAUAUAUAUGUAUCUUACAGACUCCGAAUUAGCUAAUUUCUAACUUGCCAUAGCAACCCAGAGCAAUUCAAUAAGAUACGAAGGUUUCAAAGCAGUACAAUCCGUCCAACUCCGGUGCAAACCGAGCACCCUUUGCCGGCUGUGUUUUCCUUAAUUCUUCCGACUUCUUACCAUUAUCUCCUUGUCCACCGAUGUUUCGUCUUUCCUUGAUUAACUGAUUCUCUUGCUUUCGCGAGGGUUCUGGACAAGACACAGAUGUCCUGACCAGUUGACCAAGGAAUUCAGCAGAAAAGGCAUCGAAUGAACUGAAUAUUGAAUUCAUCGUUUGAUCGAAAUAUUGGUUUCUUGACGAAUAUUAGAGAAAGGAUGGAGGAUAUACAAGAAGGGAUAGUUCAUACUUAUUUAUAUAGGAAGGAUGAGGAGGGUGGAAUAAUCUUGAAAAUAAAGAGGAUGGCAACUUCUGAAACAGUUCGCGUUGGCUUUACUAUAAUAUUGAGGAAAAGGUCUGUCUGAGAAACUGUAUCUGACCAUUUCUCAUGGCCUGUAGAUAGUGAUCAACCUAAGCCGCCAUUUGACUAUUCAAAUACAUGUAUGAAGUCAAUUUUCUUUCAUGGUCGGCUGCAAGCUCUAUCAUCAACUUGAUUUCCACGCCGUUUCUUCUUUUUGAACAAAAUGAUGCAUUAAAGAAAAAGAGAAGUUACAAGAUCAUUGGAGGAUACCGAUGAGGGCAUCAUCAUCUUAUCUUGAUUUGGACUAAUUAAUUUUUGCUUUAUUAGUUGGGUUCGUAUUAUGGACUGGUCCAAACCCAAUAACUAUUAGAUUUAUUUUUAUUAUUUAUAUAUUUGUAUUGAACUUCCAAGAAGACGAUGAAUUGAAGAAUAUGAAAAUGUUUGGCUUGUUGCCUAGGGCUUCCUCCUUCUCCCCUUCUCCCUAAUUUCUCCUUCUUCUCCUGUCUUCUCUAUCCAUUCUAUCGUUGCUUCUUCUCUUUUGCUUUUCUAUUCUCUGCUUCCUCUGCUCUUUCUUAAUCCUAGUUUGAUUGUUUAAAUAGAUUCUACAUCAGAUACUAAUGGAAUAUAAAUCAAUCCAUCACACACGGAUUCUUAUCCAUACCUUGUUGAGAUUAAUGACUAAUCUUAUAC